CGUAAGAAUUUGAAAAUUGCAAGAGUGUCGGAUCUCAAAUCUCUCCCCGGCCCCAUAACGCUAUGUGAGACUCUCCGAUCCACCAACCAAUAGUUUUUGUUGAAAUGCCCAUCGACUGAUACAAACAGGGAGGCUAAGUUGUGGUUGUGCCCCUAGCAAGUAGUCCUACCCAUCCACCAGUACAAACAGGGAGGCUAAGUUUUGGUUCAAUGUAAGAAGCCCUUAAAUUCAGAAUUCCGAAAAGAUUAGAUUAAUUUCAAAAAAUCCCCUUUUAUAUUUAUCUGCAGUUCAUAUUGGAUUAAGUAUGCUUUUCAUAUUAAUUGUUCAUCUUCUUAAGGGAAUAACCAACAACAAUGCUGUAGCUUUUUUGGCAGUGCCGAUUUUGAUGUUGAAAUGGCUGUGUGGUGGCAUGGAUUUGAUGCCAAGAACCCUUCGAUUAAAAACUCUUUUUAUGGUUAGGUCUGCUUUUUGAUUGGCCCGUCGGGAUAUUGUAGAAGCAUAAAAAGAGAAGGUUGCCAAAUAUCUACCACCUCUUGGAACUCCUUAUCAUCAAAGCUAUUCCAAUUCUUGGUAAAUGUGGUUCUCCUCAAUGAAGAAUUGAUUAAAUGUAUUCUUGAGAGCAGAUAGUUUUGGAUUGAAGCUCAUAUGAAUUUUUUUAGAGAAGUUGAGUUUGUUUGUUGGGUAUGGUGUAAAAUGUGUUUCAUUCGUACAUAAAGGCGCAGGCGAUUGAAGUCUACUCAAGUGUUCCCACAUUGAUGGAUCUCAACAUUUGUGCUUGAAGUGAGAAUGCACUGUGAACGGCUUUUCAGAAUAGUCGAGCGCUAAGCUAGAUAUACGUAGGUCAGAUAGAUACACUGAAUGAACCUUAUUUGGUUAAGACUUCUCGGAAGAACUUGCUUCGUUGGCGGGAGUGGUCAAUAGUAGAUAACGAUAAUUCAUU